UCUCUCUCAGUAAGGGCUAACGUAAACUGACUCUCUGUCUUCUCUCAACCAAACAGUCAUUCAAAACCUUUGAAAGGUAACAUUACCACAUUUAUUAAUGUAUUUAUUAUGUUAAGUGAGUACACCACAGUUCUGUAAGUGGAAAAUUAAUUCAUAUUUAUGUGUGUUUUCUCACAGUUUAGCGCAAACGUUUCCUGCGCAAGUUUGAAUCUCUCAGUCAGGGGGGAGAUUGACUGACUGACUGACUGUCUACUCGCCACCAAACAGUUAGUUACACAGAAACCUUUUAAAGUAAGGACUAACGUUAACUGACUGUCUGUCUGUCUGUCUGUCUGUCUGUCUGCUCUCAACCAAACAGUCAUUCAAGAACUUUUAAAGUUUAGUGCAAACGUUUCCCGCGCAAGUUUGAAUCUCUCUCAGUCAGGAGGGAGAUUUACUGACAGACUGUCUACUCGCCACCAAACAGUAAUCUACACAGAAACCUUUUAAAGUUUAGCACAAACGUGUCCCGCGCAAGUUUGGAUCUUUACCAUUGAGGGUGGCUGACUGUUCUCGACCAACCAUCAUUCACACGCAAAAACUUUAAAGAUAAGUAUGAACGUGCCCAGAGCAGUUUUCGAUCUUUACCAUUAAGGCUGACUGACUAUCCUCUACCACUCGUCAUUAACACAAGAAAAACUAAAGAAAUGUUACUCCAUAUGGACCUAUUCAUUUACUCAUUAUGCUGUGAGUACACCACAGUUUUAUCAGGGAAAAAAUUUAUAUUUGUGUGUUUUCUCACUGCUUGGCAAGGACAGAUGUGGCCCCUGUUAAAAAUGUUUAAAUGUCGUUUGGUUUAAGGAACAGCACACUGAUUUUGUUUUAAAAUAUUCCUGUUUGGACAUAAGUAAAGUGUAAAUGUAAUAUUAGUUUUUAAUGUUGUGAAUUUGGACUGAACAGCACACUUCUGUUUUAUAUCUAAACCUUUUGUAAAAUAAAUGAUUGUUCAAUAAACUGUGUAUUUUAUCUUUUCUGUUAUCAUUUUUUUAUACUAAUGUUUAAAAUGUACCUUUACUCUAAACGAUUGGCUAAACCAACACAAAUAUAUUGAGUCAUAUGCACUUAUAAUUUAAAGUUUACAGUACUUAGAUUGAGAUAUAUGUAUAAGUUUUAAAACCAUAAUCAAUGAGUGUACCCUGUCAAAGCCAAUUUUGUACCCUUUUUGAAGGGUCCAUAUUUGUACUGUUAAAUAAAGGUACAAAA